rnacentral:tRNA from 1 species
GGGGAUGUGCUGGAAUUGGCAGACAGGCAUGACUUAGGAUCAUGUGCCGCAAGGCGUAAGGGUUCAAGUCCCUUCAUCCCCAC